GAGUUUGAUUCUGGCUCAGGAUGAACGCUGGCGGCGUGCUUAACACAUGCAAGUCGAACGAAGCGGGAAGGAAGAAGUUUUUCGAAAUGGAUUUUUUCUUUGCUUAGUGGCGGACGGGUGCGUAACACGUAGGUAACCUGCCCUGUGCUUCGGAAUAACUCCGGGAAACCGGUGCUAAUGCCGAAUAAUAUCGCCUGUCGGCAUCGAGAGGCGAUCAAAGAAUUUUGGCACAGGAUGGGCCUGCGCCGGAUUAGCUGGUUGGUGAGGUAACGGCUCACCAAGGCGACGAUCCGUAGCCGACCUGAGAGGGUGAUCGGCCACACCUGGAACUGAGACACGGUCCAGACUCCUAUCGGGAGGCAGCACGUGGGGAAUAUUGCAUCAAUGGGGGAAAGCCCUGAUGCAAGCA
rnacentral:rRNA from 1 species